UCAUCUCCAACGCCAUGGCUUCUCUCUUGCCUUGUCCUCCAAAACCCCCACAAAACCCUAGCCCCAAAUUCCACUGCUCUUCAAGGCGAUCCUUCGCCAUUGGAAACGCCGCUGCAUCGAUGGUUUCUCUCGCUGUCGCCCUCGCCUUACCCGUGAUUUCUAACCCAAUUCCAGCCCUAUCCGUUGCCGAGCAGGAGGUCGCUCCUCCACGGAAGCCGCUCCUCCCUGGGAUCUCCAGCACCAAGUCGUGGUUCCAGUUCUAUGGUGAUGGCUUCUCCAUUCGCGUCCCUCCUCAGUUUGAAGAUAUUAUGGAACCUGAGGAUUUCAAUGCUGGAUUAUCACUAUAUGGUGAUAAAGCAAAACCAAAGACUUUUGCAGCUCGGUUCGCAUCUCCAGAUGGAUCAGAAGUUGUGAGCGUGGUGAUUCGACCAUCAAAUCAACUUAAAAUCACCUUCCUUGAGGCAAAAGAUAUUACAGAUAUAGGUUCACUGAAGCAGGCGGCCAAAAUAUUUGUUCCUGGUGGUGCAAAUUUGUACUCAGCACGGACUAUAAAAAUCAGGGAAGAUGAGACUGUAAGGAGUUACUACUUCUACGAGUUUGGGUUGGAAGACCAGCAUGUUGCUUUAGUGGCUACUAUUAACAGUGGCAAGGCUUAUAUUGCUGGAGCUACUGCUCCUCAGCUAAAAUGGGAAAAUGAUGGUGUCGAGCUACGAUCUGCUGCGGUCUCUCUCUCAGUUCUAUAAUCUGAAAAAUUCAGAAAAUAAAUGUGGAAAGAUCGAACAACCGCGCCUCAAAGCCACAUCUGAUGAAAUUCAUGUCCUGCAAGAGCUUUGAUUCAACACCAACCCCUGUUCUUUCUUCAAUUGGAAUUAGAUUGAUUGGAUUCAGAGUCUGGUAUGUGAAAUUUUGAGUAUCAUUUUGACUAGUCAAUAAUUGUCAUUGACUUUAAUUGGUGUUGGAAUCUGAUUUUCCUAUGCAAAUUACUUUCUGUCAAUUGAUCUUAGAUUGUUAAAAGUAUUCUCAGAAUUAUAUAAUUUCAAUUUGGAAUGGAUUUUAAUGUAAAGUUAAUAUGCUAUGCUGUGUUGUGAUUUGAAUAUGUGAUUAAUAAGAUGAGAAGAU